GUAUCCGUAUUAGAACUACAGGAUCCCCUAGUAACUGCGAGUGAAGCGGGAAGAGCUCAAAUUUAAAAUCUGGCGGUUUUUUGUUGCCGUCCGAGUUGUAAUUUAGAGAAGCGUUUUCCGUGCCGGACCGUGUACAAGUCUCCUGGAACGGAGCGUCAUAGAGGGUGAGAAUCCCGUCUUUGACACGGAUGCCCGGUGCUCUGUGAUACGCUCUCGAAGAGUCGAGUUGUUUGGGAAUGCAGCUCAAAAUGGGUGGUGAACUCCAUCUAAAGCUAAAUAUUGGCGAGAGACCGAUAGCGAACAAGUACCGUGAGGGAAAGAUGAAAAGCACUUUGAAAAGAGAGUGAAACAGUACGUGAAAUUGCUGAAAGGGAAACGCUUGAAGUCAGUCGCGUCCGUCGGGAUUCAGCCGUAAUGGUGUACUUUCCGACGGACGGGCCAGCAUCGUUUUUGAUCGCCGGAAAAGGGCGGAAGGAAUGUGGCACCUCUGGGUGUGUUAUAGCCUUCCGUCGUAUACGACGGUCGGGAGCGAGGAACGCCUUUUUUUGU
rnacentral:rRNA from 1 species